rnacentral:rRNA from 1 species
GACGUAGGGCGCGAGCGUUGUCCGGAUUUAUUGGGCGUAAAGAGCUCGUAGGCGGUUUGUUGCGUCGGCUGUGAAAUCCCGAGGCUCAACCUCGGGUCUGCAGUCGAUACGAGCAAACUAGAGUGUUGCAGGGGAGACUGGAAUUCCUGGUGUAGCGGUGAAAUGCGCAGAUAUCAGGAGGAACACCGGUGGCGAAGGCGGGUCUCUGGGCAACAACUGACGCUGAGGAGCGAAAGCGUGGGGAGCGAUCCGG